AGGCAGCAGUGGGGAAUCUUGGGCUAUGGGCGAAAGCCUGGCCCAGCGCCGCCGCGUGGGGGAUGAAGGCCCUCGGGUUGUAAACCCCUUUCAGCGGGGACGAAGCGAAAGUGACGGUACCCGCAGAAGAAGCCCCGGCUAUUUACGUGCCAGCAGCCGCGGUAAGACGUAGGGGGCGAGCGUUGUCCGGAUUUAUUGGGCGUAAAGCGCGCGCAGGCGGCCCGUUAAGUCGGUUGUGAAAACCCGAGGCUCAACCUCGGGCCUGCAUCCGAUACUGGCGGGCUUGAGGCAGGUAGGGGAGAGUGGAAUUCCCGGUGUAGCGGUGAAAUGCGCAGAUAUCGGGAGGAACACCGGUGGCGAAGGCGGCUCUCUGGGCCUGUCCUGACGCUCAGGCGCGAAAGCUGGGGGAGCGAACAGGAUUAGAUACCCUGGUAGUCCCAGCCGUAAACGAUGGGUGCUAGGUGGGGGGGGAUAUCGACCCCUUCCGUGCCGAAGCU
rnacentral:rRNA from 1 species